rnacentral:lncRNA from 1 species
CAUCUGUGUCAGUAAAAAAUUCUAAGGGUUAACAUAACAUGAUGUAAACUGUUUCAUCUGUUCUUCCUACUUGCCCAUUUUAAUCAGAAAUGAGUAAGUAGAGCUUAUAUGCACUGAACUUGAAGAAUGCUAAUGGGAUGUCUGCAUCAUGUUGUACCCAGAGUACUUAUGCCAGAAUAGGAGAGCCUUUAAUUCUGUAAUUCUCUGGGACAAGAAAAGCUUUCUGAAGAAUUACUUUAAAUUUAAACUCUCAUUCUAACGUUAGGCAGCCUGUUGGAUCUCUGAGUUAAAAAUUGCUUCAGCUUUAGUUACUAGAGCCAGAUGCAACAUUGACCUUAAAUGGUAAAAGCUCCCAAGAGUGAAAGAGAGGCUGGCCCGAGGGGAAAGAGAGGAAUAACUGAAGUUUUAGGUAAGUAAUCUCUAUAACCAGGAAUAAGCUCUUUUUCAGCCUGAAACAGAACGGAACCAUUUUUCCUCCUUAAAGGUACAGUACCUUGUUCUUGUGAUACUGAGGAGCUGGUUCUUUACUUCUUCUCCCCCACCCCUUCAAAUUCUACCUCUUUGUCAGAUUUUAGCUGCUUAAAAACUGGGUGUAGUCAAUGCAACCUCGUUCUGCUUGCUGUUUGGGACUAUACAAGAAUGAAAAAGAAAAAGCUGUGUUAAUUAUACUGAGACUUGAAUAAUAAAGGUAUGUGGUGAGUAAUUCAAGGUAACCGGAUUCCCAGAUACUGUCAUCUGUAUUGUACUAACCAAGAGGGAGUCUAAGGAGCAAUCCAUAUCAUAGAGAAACAGAUAAGUCACAGAUUGCUCUUUUUCUUAUUAAUUAUGAUUUUCCUUCCCUCAUGCUUUUAACAGUGCUGGAGUGGUUCAUGUUGGUGGAUUAUCUACUCGUCUGGAACUUAUCUUUUAAAAAGGAAGCUCCUGCUUACAGCAUUCCAGCUAUCAGCCUGCUGAAUAUUCAUUAUCCUUCCUUCACCUGUGCUGCAAGGCAUUAUGUUGACCAUGAGAAUUCCAGACCUUAAAUUCCUCUAAUAGGUGCACAAGGCUCGUGCAUACUGAAAUUGUAGAUCUUCACCCAUAUCCAUUCUGCCUGUGACAUGUGAGUUAAUCUCUACAAGUAUUUAAUUUUAAAAGAUAAUUUUGAAGCUUUUGUCAUUUCUGAAAUAAUUGAGUUUUGGGGGAGAUCAUUUACUUUGAUAAAAAACUAAAAUAAUCUAAUUACAUCCUUUGAUAAGAUAAAGGCAGGCCCAACAGAGCUUGAUCAAUGAAGAAAAAAAAAGAAAUAAACUACCAAUAAGAGGAUCUUGAAAUUAUCUCUGCCUAGGAGGCUAGUAUGUGUUCAUGCACCUUAACUGUUUUCAAAGUGCAGGUGUAUUUUUAAGCUCUCUUUUUACUGUCUUCAGGGCCAAUAAUUACAGGUGUUUCAGUUGGUCCCUCACUGAAUUGCACAUAUUGUUAACAUAAUUUCUUUCUUUGACUGAAACACGUUUGUUCUUGUGGAAAGGGGACAAAGCUGGCAAAGCUAAUGGUAGCAUGAUUCCAAAGGCUGUUCAGCUGGCAGGUGAGCCAGGCUUAGAUGCAGGCCCAGUCAAGCUCUACACAUUCUAGCUCAGGGUUCAGUAAGGCUGUCAACUGGGUUUGUAAAUAGAAGUGUGAAUUUCUGUAAGCUCCAAGGCUGCACUCUGCCCUAAUGCUCUGCUGAAAAAAAACAAGUACCUUCUAGUGACAUAAAUUUUCCAAGGACAUUUCUUUAUCUUCUAUCUACAUUUUUGAGAUGCAGAUAAGCUCCUCUAAUUCUUGUAGAGGUUCUCACAAAGCCCUCUGUUUCUGUGAAUAUUGACUCCUUGUGACACUUACUGGGGCUGUUUUCAUUGCCCAGCUAAAGGGGUAUAAGGUCACUUCACCAGUGAUGGAAGAACAUUUAUUCACAAAUAUUUAGGCUUCCAUCUUUUCUAAACCUUUGCCUUUCAUACCAGUAGAGAAGGCAAUAACUGAUUGGAAAAUGGCAGAACUCAUUGCAGAGCAUGUAUAUCCACUUGCAUUUACAAUGUAUGAUAUUUGUGCUUGGUAAGCAUCAUAGUCUUUAAAAAAUAUGGGCUACUGAAUUUAAGAACACUGCACAGGUU